rnacentral:rRNA from 1 species
UCUGGAUGAGUCCGCGUCCCAUUAGCUUGUUGGUGGGGUAAUGGCCUACCAAGGCUACGAUGGGUAGCUGGUCUGAGAGGAUGAUCAGCCACACUGGAACUGAAACNCGGUCCAGACUCCUACGGGAGGCAGCAGUGGGGAAUAUUGCGCAAUGGGGGAAACCCUGACGCAGCGACGCCGUGUGAGGGAUGAAGGCUUUCGGGUCGUAAACCUCUGUCGGGAGGGAAGAACCUUCCAGGUCUGAAUAAGGCUUGGAACUGACGGUACCUCCAAAGGAAGCACCGGCUAACUCCGUGCCAGCAGCCGCGGUAAUACGGAGGGUGCAAGCGUUAAUCGGAAUCACUGGGCGUAAAGCGCGCGUAGGCGGUCUUUUAAGUCGGACGUGAAAGCCCUCGGCUCAACCGGGGAACUGCGUUCGAAACUGGGAGACUUGAGUCCUGGAGAGGGUGGCGGAAUUCCGGGUGUAGGAGUGAAAUCCGUAGAUAUCCGGAGGAACACCGGUGGCGAAGGCGGCCACC